UUUAAAGUGGCCACAUCAUUUUUCCUUUUCUCAAGCAUUGUAUGAGAGUUCCAGUUGCUUCACAUUCUCACUAACACUUCGUAUGGUCAGAGUGAGACUAGAGAAAGCAUUUUUAUAUUUCUGCAUGUUUAGGAAUUUCUGAACAAAUUUUUACUGGGAACUGGGUUAAAAGAUAAGUGUUAGAGUUAGUGAGAGAUUUACCUCUUGAAAGGAAUGUGUUCAUGUAUCAAGGGGUAAUGAAACUCAAGGCCAUAGAGACGUUCCAGGGGUUAGAAACUCAGAGAGGCUUAUCUUAUCCUCCCCUUGGAGAUACUUAUUUACAUACCAUGGGUAUGAGACCUGCAGCCAUUUGUCUCCUUAUGGUGAGCGAUUUGCUUCCAUCCAAAGGCUAAUUAAAGUCUUUCAUCCAAAGACUAAUCAUCCCUCUUCUCUUCCUAAGGAGAAUUUAUUGACACUAGAGGAGCAAAUGUUUCUCUCCCUCUCUUGGGAGGUGAGAAGGAAACCACGGUCUCUCUCCUAUAUAAGCUCCCAGAUUCAUAAUUUUGGUGUUGCUCAUCUGUAUUACAAAUCUCAAUAUGUGUAGGAUGACAUCUGGCUCUUCUCCUGCUGCCUGGGUGGGGGAGAAUUGGAUUAGAAGGGGGAACCAAUAUGGUUGUUCCCAUGAGUAAGUCAAUUCAUCUGUCUUUGCUCUGGGAAAUCUUAUGUUUACUCUUAGGAAAACAGGAAUAAAUGUAGGUAUUAAAAGCUUAAGAGUCAGUUUAAAAAGUGUUUUAGCCAUUCUGAUUCCUGUACUGUGUUAUCUUUAUUGUGGUUUUAUUUUACAUUUUCCGAAUGUCUAAUGGUCCUAAGCAUCUUUUCAUGUACUUAUUGACCAUUUGUAUAUCUUUCUUUAAAACAUGCUCGAGUCUUCUGACAAUUUUUACGAUUUUUACAUUGGGCUGUCUUUUGUUGAGUUGUUAGUGUUACUUAUUGUAUUCUGGAUAGAGUUCUUUAUGUAUACGUGUUGUGAGUAUUUUCUCCUGUUGCGUGGCUUGCCUUUCUUGUUUUCGUAAACAGUGUUUCUUGAAGAGUAAAAGUUCUGGAUUUUAGUAAAAUGCAAUUUAUCAGUUGUUUCUUUUAUGGUUCAUGCCUUUGUACUUUUUUCAGGAAACCAUUGCCUACCUCAAGAUUAAAAAAAAGUUCUGUACAUUUUGUGUGUUAGGUGUUACGUGAUCCACCUUGAGGUAACUUUUGAGUACAUAUGAAGUUAGGGUCAUUCCUAUUUUCAUAGACUGCGUUAUUUCCUUUUCUUAGGUUGUCUUUGAAGCUUGGUGAUGCUGGAAACCCCAGAAGUCUUGCUAUAAGAUUCAUCCUUACCAAUUACAACAAGUUGUCCAUCCAGAGUUGGUUUAGUUUGCGCCGAGUCGAGAUCAUUUCCAACAAUUCAAUCCAAGCAGUCUUUAACCCAACUGGCGUAUAUGCUCCCUCUGGUUACUCCUACCGCUGCCAACGCGUGGGCAGCCUGCAGCAGGACCAGGCCCUCUUGCUGCCCAGCGACACGGAUGAUGGGUCGAGCCUGUGGGAGGUCACUUUUAUUGAUUUCCAGGCACUUGGACUAGUACCCUGCAUGAAAGUUCAUUUCAAGGCAAACAGAACAAUAUUCUUGGAAUGGGAGGAAGAAUCUUCGAGUUUGAACAGAGUUGGGGUCUCCCAAAGUUGCCAAUGCUGGUCUCCAACUCCUGGCUUCAGGUGAUCCUCCCACGUCAGCCUCCCAAAGGGUUGGGAUUACAGGCAUGAGCCACCAUGCCCAGCCCAGAUGAUUCUUAUAAGAUGAGACAUGGGACUUGAAUGCUGCUAUUGGUGCACAUUUCUGCAGACGUGUCUCUGGCUCUCAGGAUGCAGAAUGUUGACCUCUCAGAAAAAGGAAGAAAGGCUUCAUCCGCAGUGGGCAUUAAAAAAAACCAUAAACAUCUAUUCAUGGUCUUGGAAUUGAAUCUUAAGGCAAAGCAGGAUCUCAGUGUCUGUGGCCAUCUGAAAAUGUCCACAUGAUGCCAGACCAUGCUUUACUCUGAAAAUCCACUGAUAAGAUACGUUGAAGAUGGAGAACAACUGAUGUCAAGACACAUUUUGGUUGUAAGGGACAGAAGUCCAACUCCAACGAGCUUGCCAAGGAUGGAACCUGCUGGCAAACAUAACCAAACUUUGGGAAGGGCAGGGUAUGGUUAACCUCAGGUUUCUGGAAGCAGAGUGUACAGUGCUGUGCCGUCCCUCUUCUCUCUGCUUCUCUCUGCAUAUUGGCCCUAUCCUCUCAGUGGGGCACCCUCCCUGAGCAGCGAACAGCAGCCACAGGAAGCUCCAGUGUCAAUGCCUCCCACAGCUUUCCAGAGAAGCAGCAGCCUCUUUGUUAGCUCCAUAUCAAAGACAUCCACAGGCAGGGCUUUGUGUGACCCAGUUUGGGUCACGUCUUUAUUUGGGGCCCGGAGGAAAUGGAUACAAUGACUACAGCCCAUCAUAGAACCUCAUGUUUAGAGGACCAAAUUUCCUCUCUCCAAAAGUGAAAUGUUGUCACUGUCCAUUCAACUGAUGAAAAUCUUCCUUUUCAACAGAAAAACUAUCAUGAUGUUGUCUGUUGGGCUUCAGUUUCUUACAGCAGUCAUCUGAAGAAUUAAACUGGUAUGGAUAAUCUGAUUAUGAACUCCUUGAGGGCAGGGACCAUAUUAUAUAAUACUUCUGUGUCCUCUGCUAUUUCUUAGCAGAAUUUUGAAAAUGUGCCAAGUGUUGACUUGGUUCGAUCACUUGUGAGAAUGGAGGGACCCAUAAUGUUAAUAAUCAAUGAAGGUUGUUGGAGUUACUUACCCAAAACCUUAUGAACUUAGCCUUCCCUAGCAGAUUUAGUUUCCUAAUUUGUCCGGUAUAAGCAAACACUAAAAAGGGAUUGGGGAAAGUUGUGAGUUGAGUAGUUGGGAAAAAGGUAGUUUGCAGUUUUAUUUACGUCUCACAGCUUGACAUUUUUUGUUUGCCUUGGAGGGGGUACUUUUAAAAAUUCCUCUUUUGAAAACAAUAAAAUCUUAGAUUUUGGAUAACAGAUAUUUCUGUACUAUAUACCUCACUUAAGAUUUUCAAAGUAAUGUUUAAAAGUGCCUUUUAUAGUUUUUCAUACCACAUUGUAGGGAAGGCCAGGGUCAUUUUUUAACACUUAACUAUGCUCAAUACCUCCUCACCACUAUAAAGUAAGGUCGAAUGUUGGUUAAAGCAAAGCUGUCUGGAAUCACCCUGUCAAAAGUACUGAUUUAUAAUCUUGCUACUCACAUUUCUUACUGUGGUGCCCUCCCUCUUGUUGGCUCCUGCAUCUUUGAAGUACAGGGAAAAUGAACUAAUAUGGUAGCUCCAAUAUGCAGCUAAUCCUGCCAAUGAUGUCUCCCCUGGAAGUGUUUGAGAGAAGAAUUUCUUUUCCCAGUAUGGAUUUAUGUAAACAUUUGUUCCAUUCACGAGUAGCACAUUAAUGCCUAAUUCUGGAAAAAAUACAAAGAAAAAACCUUU
rnacentral:sRNA from 1 species